UACGGGGGGGGCAAGCGUUGUUCGGAAUUACUGGGCGUAAAGGGCUCGUAGGCGGCUUUGUAAGUCAGUGGUGAAAUAUGGCAGCUCAACUGUCAGGGUGCCAUUGAUACUGCGGAGCUUGAGUACAGAUGAGGUAGGCGGAAUUGACGGUGUAGCGGUGAAAUGCUUAGAUAUCGUCAAGAACACCGAUAGCGAAGGCAGCUUACUAGGCUGUAACUGACGCUGAGGCACGAAAGUGUGGGGAUCAAACAGG
rnacentral:rRNA from 1 species